rnacentral:tRNA from 1 species
AGCUCAGAUGGUAAAGCAUCUGCCUACAAUGCAGGAGACCCAGGUUCAAUCCCUGG